AUGACAGAAGAAUGGAGACGGAGUAUAUUAGUACCAAUCUUCAAGAACAAGGGAGAUGUUCAGAGUUGUACUAAUUACCGUGGAAUUAAGCUGAUGAGCCAUACAAUGAAGCUAUGGGAGAGAGUCAUUGAGCACCGCUUAAGAAGAAUGACAAGCGUGACCAAAAAUCAGUUUGGUUUCAUGCCUGGGAGGUCAACCAUGGAAGCCAUUUUCUUAGUACGACAACUUAUGGAGAGAUAUAGGGAGCAUAAGAAGGACUUGCAUAUGGUGUUCAUUGACUUGGAGAAGGCCUAUGAUAAGAUACCGCGGAAUGUCAUGUGGUGGGCCUUGGAGAAACACAAAGUCCCAGCAAAGUACAUUACCCUCAUCAAGGACAUGUACAAUAAUGUUGUGACAAGUGUUCGAACAAGUGAUGUCGACACCGAUGACUUCCCGAUUAAGAUAGGACUGCAUUAG
rnacentral:rRNA from 1 species